CGUACACUCCUGCGGGAGGCAGCAGUGGGGAAUAUUGGACAAUGGGCGCAAGCCUGAUCCAGCCAUGCCGCGUGAGUGAUGAAGGCCCUAGGGUUGUACAGCUCUUUCACCGGUGAAGAUAAUGACGGUAACCGGAGAAGAAGCCCCGGCUAACUUCGUGCCAGCAGCCGCGGUAAUACGAAGGGGGCUAGCGUUGUUCGGAUUUACUGGGCGUAAAGCGCACGUAGGCGGACUAUUAAGUCAGGGGUGAAAUCCCGGGGCUCAACCCCGGAACUGCCUUUGAUACUGGUAGUCUUGAGUUCGAGAGAGGUGAGUGGAAUUCCGAGUGUAGAGGUGAAAUUCGUAGAUAUUCGGAGGAACACCAGUGGCGAAGGCGGCUCACUGGCUCGAUACUGACGCUGAGGUGCGAAAGCGUGGGGAGCAAACAGGAUUAGAAACCCCUGUAGUCCCAUG
rnacentral:rRNA from 1 species